UCCCGGUUAGCUCAGUUGGAAAAGCGGUCCAUUGAAAAUGGAGAGGUCCCUGGUUCGAUACCCUGGAUCAGGCG
rnacentral:tRNA from 1 species